rnacentral:rRNA from 1 species
GACGAACGCUGGCGGCGUGCUUAACACAUGCAAGUCGAACGGAAAGGCCCUGCUUUUGUGGGGUGCUCGAGUGGCGAACGGGUGAGUAACACGUGAGUAACCUGCCCUCGACUUUGGGAUAACUUCAGGAAACUGGGGCUAAUACCGGAUAGGAGCUCCUGCUGCAUGGCGGGGGUUGGAAAGUUUCGGCGGUUGGGGAUGGACUCGCGGCUUAUCAGCUUGUUGGUGGGGUAGUGGCUUACCAAGGCUUUGACGGGUAGCCGGCCUGAGAGGGUGACCGGCCACAUUGGGACUGAGAUACGGCCCAGACUCCUACGGGAGGCAGCAGUGGGGAAUAUUGCACAAUGGGCGGAAGCCUGAUGCAGCAACGCCGCGUGCGGGAUGACGGCCUUCGGGUUGUAAACCGCUUUCGCCUGUGACGAAGCGUGAGUGACGGUAAUGGGUAAAGAAGCACCGGCUAACUACGUG